GCCAGGCAUGGUGAACAUGCCUGUAAUCCCAGCAACUGGGGAGGCUGAGGCAGUAGGAUCAUGAGUUCAAAGCCAGCCUCAGCUACUUAGCAAGGCCCUAAGCAACUUAGUGAGACCCUGUCUCUA
rnacentral:sRNA from 1 species